rnacentral:rRNA from 1 species
GGUGCGAGCGUUAAUCGGAAUAACUGGGCGUAAAGGGCACGCAGGCGGUUGUUUAAGUGAGGUGUGAAAGCCCCGGGCUUAACCUGGGAAUUGCAUUUCAGACUGAACAACUAGAGUACUUUAGGGAGGGGUAGAAUUCCACGUGUAGCGGUGAAAUGCGUAGAGAUGUGGAGGAAUACCGAAGGCGAAGGCAGCCCCUUGGAAAUGUACUGACGCUCAUGUGCGAAAGCGUGGGGAGCAAACAGGAUUAGAUACCCUGGUAGUCCACG